GUAAUUGAUUUUUUGUACUGAUUUCAGAAAUUUUUGUAAUGAUUUCUGAAAUUGAAACCUACGAUUUGAUAUUUGGGGGUAGAUUAGAGGGUUUUUCAGUAUUUAGUGUUUAAUUUAUACAAUUGAAGUAGUUCAAAGGACAAAGGUUGUUGUGUUAUCGUGCUAAGAAAUACUAAUUUAUCAAUUUCUUAUAUGAUAUCUAGGGUUCGGAUUCGUGUUUUUUGCUUCGAAUUAUUGAUUAUUCUUAAUUCAAUUUGUUUCUGCAAUUUUGUGAAUGAGUUUUUUCAAUUUUUCGGGUAAUACGAAUUCUGAUAGAUUGGUUAACAACCUGGGGACAAUGGCAUUCAAUAUGCAGAACAGAAGUUAGCUUACUAGGUUUACAGUGUUUUUAUUAGUUCCUUACACAUAACAUUUAGCAACGUUUGUUGAUUACAUCUAUGGGUCAUGAAUGUUUACUACACAAGUUUUAACAUCUGUAAAUAUGUGGAAUUGAAGACUAUAGGAUUCAGUUCAGGAUUGUCGAAAAAUCGUUCCGUCCGCAACUGUGUAUAGCAGCAUAUCUGGAGCUAGCUCUUCUUCUUUGUUUUUUCUUCUGUAAGAUGCAAAAUACUCUUUUGUGCCCGUAUUUAAGGCUUAAGUUUUUUGGUUGUAAUAUGUUUAUCAUGACUUACGAGGUGUUGUUAACCAAAAAACACCAUAUUAAACUUUUAAUUUUUUAGAAACACCUUAUGAAUUGUCAGCUUGGAAGAGAUGAAGCUUUGUCCACAUCUCUGGCUACGUGGAUUCAUUCCCAUGUCUUCUCAGUUCUUUGGAGUAGAAGGUGGUUAGUACAGAGUUCGGUUUGCCUCAGAUCCAUAUAGGUUCUGGCUGAUGUUCUUAUACGCGAAACUUGAUAGGUUUCUCGCUGAAGUCAGCGAUGAAAAUGGUUCACUUGAUGCUGCAUCCAGUGACAGAGUCUGCAAGAUCAGGCUUCACUUUCAGAAGGAUCAUAAGUGUUAUUCAUGAGAUUCUGAGUGAAUAGACAAACUGUUAAACAAGAGGGAGUUUACUGCCAUCGAAGAUGUGAGUUGUUGCCGUUGAUUUGAGAGAUGAACGGAGGGAAUUUGAAGAGAUGUUUUGGAGUUCCGACGAGUCUAGGAAACAUGGGUUUGUGAAGGAGAUGAAUGUGCUUAGCUUAGAUAUAACAUAAUGCACACCUCUGCACUUUUAGAAACACGCCCAUCAAGUGCUCGACAGAGACUCUAGCCGUUGAUUUGAGAGAUGAACAGAGGGAAUUUGAAGAGAUGUUUUGGAGUUCCGACGAGUCUAGGAAAAAUGGGUUUCUGAAGGAGAUGAAUGUUCUUAGCUUAGAUAUAACAUAAUGCACACCUCUGCACUUUUAGAAACACGCCCAUCAAGUGCUCGACAGAGACUCUAGCCAGUUCUGCCCCAGCUUUGUGCAGGUUUGAGCCAUGUUGAAGAGCAAAGGAAACAGAGCAUACUUCGACACGGACAAUGAAGAAUAUCCCUCAACAAGAGGACUGACCGGUGGUUGACGUCAAUGCUAAGAAACAAAUUCCUUUUUAAGAAGGACAAAACUCUAAGUAAGCUGAUAUCUUAACUAUGACUUCACUUCAAAGAACCUAUUGUAUUGUAGGGGCAGUCUGGAGAAGACACAACAAUAUUAAUUACAAUAUCUAAUUCAGGUAUUAGUCUAGGUUAUUACUUUUGAUGGUCUCUGCUUGGAUUUCUCUGUCGAUGGAAUUAUUUAAACCGAAAUUUUGAUCCAUGCUUUUUCUAUUUUACCUUGGAAGAUAUAGUUCGAAUGAUAUGACAGGUUCCCUAUAUGGGUAUCUCUUAAACCUUGAGGUAGAAGAUCACAAUGGACCGGUUGUUUUAUUUCUUUUGGUGGAACUUCCGAAUAGAUCAUCCGAAAGAGAGUUCGAGAGCUUAUGGAGAAAUCUGAUAGCGUAUGUAUGAAAAUCGUCACAUUAUUCAAUCAAUUGAUUGCUGAAUAUUGGUUUGUACACGUGAAAACGAAGCCUAUAAUGUACCUGAAAAAUAUACAUCAUGCACAUCAUCCAUAAUGUCACUCAUCUUUUCAUCUUAAGGUCUCCACAUAUCCACGUAUCCGGUUGUUGUAUUUCUUUUGGCGGAACUUCCGAAUAGAUAUAACUCUAAAUUUUUCAUCUGUUUUCAUAGUUAUAUUUUUUUGGGUUCUUACCUCUUGGCAAGCUGUGUUCAUAUCUCAUACAUCACUCCUUUAAAUCGGUCUAAAUUGGAAUUUAGGAUUACCAUUGUUUCAUAGAAUGUCAAGGCCUUCAAUCCCAUUUGCAUUAUUGAAGUGUUCUCCGGCUGACAAGCACAUGCUAAAUGUGGUUCACAUUAUAUCCUGCUAAUCCCAUCUAUCACUCUUUGACACUUAAAAUUAAUUCCUCUUGGCAAGAUGGUUGAUGUGUUGGUCUUAGUUGGAUGCGGAUGAAAACCAAAAUUUUACUAUUUAACAGGACUUAAUUUAUUCACAGUUAUAUGUAUAUGAUCCGAAUAACGCUCUGGAUUUUCGUGCGAAAUGAAAUCCCUAGCUGAAGAGAUGCUCUUUCCUCUGCUCCUUUGUCUCUGAAAGUGUAAAGCUAUUGGCAGAUCAGUGGAGCGCGAAGUACAAUGAAUGGUAGCCGCUCUAAUUUCGAAUUAAUCGUCGGGUAAACCACUUUGGUUUUCUUAUAUUUGGUUUUAAACUUUUUUGGUGGAUUUGCUGCGAGUAACAUAACACUAUACAUAACCAAAAGCAAGUUAACUAUUAUAGCAACAAAUAUAUUAAUAUAACACCACUUGGCAAUAGUCGCAGGUAUGGUUGAAUUCAAGCUUUAGCUUUUCGAAAGUCUUAGAUGGCAAUGGGUUCAGAAUAAGAUGGGAUACAAUCUCACAUCGCUAAUGCUCUACACAGACCGUAGAGGAAGGAACUAUCAUUAAACAGAUGGGGUUAGUGUAUGUAUAUCUAAUCUGCCCUGAUUUGGGAAGCGGUGAUAUUAGAUGUAUAAAUACUAACCCAAUAUCAGUUAAAAAUAGUAAUCAAUUACUCCCUGCGCCCCCUUUUAGAUGAAGGGAAGGGUUUUUUUCAAAUCUCAAAUUACAUGAAGGUGUUCAUAAUUUUCACCAUGAAUCUUUCUGAUUUAUCCCUACCUUGGAAUCAUAUACGAAUAUAAAAUAUUGUGUUAGUCUAAUUUCCCAAAAUAAAAUUCUUAAACAAUUCACUAGAUUCCAAAUUUACUCUAGAAUGCAGGAAUUAAAAAUUAAAGACUUUAAUACUUUUGGAAUUAUUAAUGAGGGUAGAUUUGGAAAAAUUUUAAUCUCUUUCUUUUUUCUUAAUCUGUGUGAAAACACCUAUCCCUUCAUCUAAACAGGGACGGAGGGAGUACGUACUUGUCCUGGAUUGUGUAGGUUGUCGUGUUGCUAAUAUAAGCUGUGUUUCAAGAAAAUUUGGGUCGUCUCUUAUACUGCUAAGUUUUGUGUGGCUUUGACACGGUGUUUGAAUGUAUAAGUUUGGAUGGACAUCUGUAUGAUUCUAAAAUGUCAUCAAAUUGAUCAUCAUCAUUUGUAAGUUCAAUAUGGUUAGCAUGGACAUCUGCGUUCAUACUUAAAUUUCAUAUGUGCAAAUUAUUUUGGAUGUCAUGUCGUUGCAGAGUUUCUCUGACAGCUCCAAUGAUUGUGAUAACCUGAUGAGUGACGCAUGUUUCAAUUGAUGGUAGUACCACAACAAAGGGAAGGUACAAUAUUCAUUUGUUUCAGUAUUGUUAUGUUAGCUAUUGGCCAACCUUUUCUAUCCCUGAUGACCAAGAAAUAGUUUAGUUACAAGGCUAAAACUCAUGAAAAAAUAGUUGGUGGAAGCCUAAGUAUACUUAUGUUUCUCCUUCUACUCCAAGGUUUGAUCUUUGAAUCGAUUACAAGAUUUUAUUCAUGUGUAGAAGUAGUCGUUGAUGUGGUGAUUGUUUAAUUUUGCGGUUAUUAUUUUUUACUUGAGCUUGCAAUUUGAACAUUACUCAUAUGUUUAGUACUCCUUAAAUUGUUGUUUGUUGUUGGGUUGCUUCAAAUAAAACUUACUGCACCAACAUAAGUGGCGAGCCACUGAGAUUCUUCUUUUCUACAAGACUGCGGAGGUUCCCAGCAGUUUUUACGACAUCAAGCAUGGAGAUUUGCAGAAGAUACAAAGCUCAAUGAGGACAGACUUCUCUUGUAUGACCAAGAUGGUGUGGAAAAAACUUAAAGUAUAGACGUUUUAAACAUUUUGGAUGGUGUUUUUGUCUAAAAAUCCCUCAUAUAUCAAAGCACACAAUACCAUCUGCGAAACUAUCAAGAGGGAUUAUCACAGCUUCGAUGAUGAAGAUUUAUAUCAACAUACCGACAUCAGCUGUCGAACUCCCCAAAAGCACAUACUCUAAAAGUUAGGCCUUCUUCCUUUGUCUUCUCGAGGGUUCCUAUCUAAGGCAUAAAGGCAGUGGAAAAACAGGGCAUGUCAAUGGCACGACAAAGAAUUCUAGGUUAAACAUAACAUCAGUUCUCAGUACGGGAGAUUGGUAGAGGCAUGUGACAACCUCUUUAAAUAGCUUCAUUACUCUCAGUUUUCAUUGGGAAGUUCGAAUGUCAGUUGAUCUUAGCCACAAACCUCAGCAGCAAGCCUUCUGUUUCAAAUUUUUACAAACAGGUUUUGUCAUACCAAAUUCCUAAUCUGAUAAUUGUAUCUUUUUGGUUCUUCUCAAUUUUGUUUUUCUUUAUAGGGUUUUCUACAAUUGUAGAAUAUGCUUGAUGAUUUGUGUUAAUGGAUCAUAGCAUGUUACUAUUUAUUAUAUCUCCAGUAAUCUAAAUCCUCUGAAAGUUAUGCACAA